rnacentral:rRNA from 1 species
GAUGAACGCUGGCGGCGUGCCUAAUACAUGCAAGUCGAGCGAACGGACGAGAAGCUUGCUUCUCUGAUGUUAGCGGCGGACGGGUGAGUAACACGUGGAUAACCUACCUAUAAGACUGGGAUAACUUCGGGAAACCGUAGCUAAUACCGGAUAAUAUUUUGAACCGCAUGGUUCAAAAGUGAAAGACGGUCUAGCUGUCACUUAUAGAUGGAUCCGCGCUGCAUUAGCUAGUUGGUAAGGUAACGGCUUACCAAGGCAACGAUGCAUAGCCGACCUGAGAGGGUGAUCGGCCACACUGGAACUGAGACACGGUCCAGACUCCUACGGGAGGCCGCAGUAGGGAAUCUUCCGCAAAGGGCGAAAGCCUGGCGGAGCAACGCCGCGUGAGUGAUGAAGGUCUUCGGAUCGUAAAACUCUGUUAUUAGGGAAAAACAUAUGUGUAAGUAACUGUGCACAUCUUGACGGUACCUAAUCAAAAAGCCACGGCUAACUACGUG